rnacentral:sRNA from 12 species
CGUUCAGAAGUUGUCUCUGUCGUUACCCACACUAGUGGAUACGAGAAUGCAAUUGUUGA